UACGGAGGGUGCAAGCGUUAUCCGGAUUCACUGGGUUUAAAGGGUGCGUAGGUGGGUAGGUAAGUCAGUGGUGAAAUCUUCAAGCUUAACUUGGAAACUGCCAUUGAUACUAUUUAUCUUGAAUACUUUGGAGGUAAGCGGAAUAUGUCAUGUAGCGGUGAAAUGCUUAGAUAUGACAUAGAACACCAAUUGCGAAGGCAGCUUACUACACAGUGAUUGACACUGAGGCACGAAAGCGUGGGGAUCAAACAGG
rnacentral:rRNA from 1 species